UUUGCUGAUUUAUGCAAACUUGUUUAGUGGUAUGUGAUAGAAAACAGCUCUAAGCAUUGAAAGCACAUAUAAACAUAUACUCUGUCGUCCAAGAUAAAUGAAUUUAAAAAAAUAGCGACAUUUGUUUGUAACGAAACAUAAUGAAAAUGAUUAGUUAGGGUAUCGAAAACCCAUUUGCAAACAUAACCUAAAACUUCAAAACCCGAUUUUACCCCUUCAGGGAGUAUUUAACCACAUAGGAUUACAUUGUCACGCAGAUUAAGUAAGUAUGCAAAAUUUCAAUUCAUUGGGACAACGGGAAUCUUUGAAAAUUUGGCUCCAAUAUUAUGAAACAGACUGACAGACAAGAAAGCAAGUUAUCUAAAAGCUUUAAAAAAAAUGUUAGGUAAUGGUGGAAUUACAGUUUUAUACAAAAAAUUGAAUAAUAAUAUGUACCUAGACGUGGUAUUUAUAAAAAUAAACAUGAUACCUACCUAA